GACGAACGCUAGCGGCGUGCCUAAUACAUGCAAGUCGAGCGGACGUUUUUGAAGCUUGCUUUAAAAACGUUAGCGGCGGACGGGUGAGUAACACGUGGGCAACCUACCUUAUCGACUGGGAUAACUCCGGGAAACCGGGGCUAAUACCGGAUAACAUCUAGCACCUCCUGGUGCCGGAUUGAAAGAGGGCUUCUUGCUCUCAGGAUAAGAUGGGCCCGCGGCGCAUUAGCUAGUUGGAGAGGUAAUGGCUCCCCAAGGCGACGAUGCGUAGCCGACCUGAGAGGGUGAUCGGCCACACUGGGACUGAGACACGGCCCAGACUCCUACGGGAGGCAGCAGUAGGGAAUCUUCCGCAAUGGACGAAAGUCUGACGGAGCAACGCCGCGUGAGUGAUGAAGGGUUUCGGCUCGUAAAGCUCUGUUAUGAGGGAAGAACACGUACCGUUCGAAUAGGGCGGUACCUUGACGGUACCUCAUCAGAAAGCCACGGCUAACUACGUGCCAGCCGCCGCAGUAA
rnacentral:rRNA from 1 species